rnacentral:rRNA from 1 species
AGAGUUUGAUCUGGCUCAGGAUGAACGCUNNNNGGCAGGCUUAAUACAUGCAAGUCGAGGGGCAGCACGGGUAGCAAUACCUGGUGGCGACCGGCAAACGGGUGCGGAACACGUACAGAACCUUCCUUUAAGUGGGGAAUAGCCCGGAGAAAUCCGGAUUAAUACCCCGUAACAUUAUAGAGUGGCAUCACUAAAUAAUUAAAGAUUUAUCGCUUAGAGAUGGCUGUGCGGCUGAUUAGGUAGUUGGCGGGGUAAAGGCCCACCAAGCCAGCGAUCAGUAACUGGUGUGAGAGCACGACCAGUCACACGGGCACUGAGACACGGGCCCGACUCCUACGGGAGGCAGCAGUAAGGAAUAUUGGUCAAUGGACGCAAGUCUGAACCAGCCAUGCCGCGUGAAGGAUUAAGGCCCUCUGGGUUGUAAACUUCUUUUAUCUGGGACGAAACACUCUUAUUCUUAAGAGCUUGACGGUACCAGAGGAAUAAGCACCGGCUAACUCCGUGCCAGCAGCCGCGGUAAUACGGAGGGUGCAAGCGUUAUCCGGAUUCACUGGGUUUAAAGGGUGCGUAGGUGGGCUUGUAAGUCAGUGGUGAAAUCUCCGUGCUUAACAUGGAAACUGCCAUUGAUACUAUAGGUCUUGAAUUUUCUGGAGGUUAGCGGAAUAUGUCUGUAGCGGUGAAAUGCUUAGAUAUGACAUAGAACACCAAUUGCGAAGGCAGCUAGCUACAGGGAUAUUGACACUGAGGCACGAAAGCGUGGGGAUCAAACAGGAUUAGAUACCCUAGUAGUCC